AGGACGAACGCUGGCGGCGUGCUUAACACAUGCAAGUCGAGCGGUAAGGCUUCCUUCGGGAGUACACGAGCGGCGAACGGGUGAGUAACACGUGGGCAAUCUGCCCUGCAUUCUGGGACAAGCCUUGGAAACGAGGUCUAAUACCGGAUACGACGCAUCCCCGCAUGGGGUGUGCGUGGAAAGCUCCGGCGAUGCAGGAUGAGCCCGCGGCCUAUCAGCUUGUUGGUGGGUGAUGGCCUACCGAAGGCGACGACGGGUA
rnacentral:rRNA from 1 species